rnacentral:rRNA from 1 species
AUGGCGGUAUGGUCCAUUCCCCUGCCUCUGAAGAUUAGGAUCUUCAUGUGGCAAUGGAUCCGUGGCCGGACCCCGUCCGGCGUGGAGGUCCAUAAGCGCAAUGGUCCGGGCAACAGACUUUGCCCGCUCUGUGGCGUUCUGGAAGACUCGAAUCAUGUUUUCUUCUCCUGUGUGUCCGUCCAAUUUAUUUGGAGUUGCUUUAGAGAGGUGGUUGGUUGCCAUUGGUACCACACCAAUUUCCCAGACAUGUUCACUGAACUUCAGGCCUCCCCCCUGCGCACUCGCCACAAUAGGUGGCUGGACAUUGGGGUCCUCGCCUGGACACUCUGGACGAUCCGUAAUAGACUUGUGAUUCAACGCAUUCUGCUCCAACGUGCUACUGACACUCUCUUCAAACUUUCUGGUUACUUGCAGGUUUGGCGUCCGCUUAGCCGCCCCCAAGAUCGUGAUGCCAUCUCUGCCUUCAUCGCCGACCUUCGCUCGAUGGCAUUCCGCUUAUCGCCGCCGCUUCCUCCACCGCCCCCCGAGCCGAAUUAG